CUCUUUUGGAGUAUUUGUUAAGCCCUCAUCCUUGGGACAGAUUUCAUACGUGAUCUUCAGCACAUCAUUUUGGAUUUGAUUCAGCACCAAGAUAAUGACAAUCUAAAUAUUUUGGUGCUAGAAGUUCUGUACAGUAGAGCAGCUUAUGAUGAACAUUUCCUGAUGAAUGGAAAUGUUGUCUGACAGUGCUUUUUGUUCUAUUUGAGAUAUACAAAUCACUGCUGAAAAUUUACAGAACAUCUACAUGAAUUUUGGAAGUAUGAAAAAAGCCUGUACUGGCAGUGGGGAGAUGCCUAUCUACAAUGAAGUUGGAGAAUGAUCUAACUAAGGAGACCCAGAUUGACCUUUCCAAAUAUCUGGCAUUAAAAUGCAUGUACAUGCAUAAUUAAUAUAUGUAGCCAUACUAUAAUUUUUAUUUUUAUUAUCGAUUCAACUUGAUGUAAUUUCUAGGUAUUAGCAUCCCCAUUUGACAAAUGUGGGGAAUUAUCUCAAUCAUGUUAGCUGUGAUUGUUCCAAUCAUUAAUUGAAGCCUCUUCAUUUUGGAAUUUAUUUUGAAUCAGACUUGAAUGUUGUAAGGUGCUGCCGUGUUACAAAAAAAAAAAAUCUAUAACUGACCUUCAGAUUUCAUGUAAGUAGCUUGCAUUAAGCAGUGGGCUGUGUAUCUUAUAUAGUAUUAGUACAGUAGACAGCUG